rnacentral:rRNA from 1 species
UACGUAGGGUGCAAGCGUUGUCCGGAAUUAUUGGGCGUAAAGAGCUCGUAGGCGGUUUGUCGCGUCGGCUGUGAAAACUCGGGGCUACAACCCCGGACGCCCUGCAGUCGAUACGGGCAAACUAGAGUGUGGUAGGGGGAGACUGGAAUUCCUGGUGUAGCGGUGAAAUGCGCAGAUAUCAGGAGGAACACCGGCGGCGAAGGCGGGUCUCUGGGCCAUAACUGACGCUGAGGAGCGAAAGCGUGGGGAGCGAACAGG